rnacentral:tRNA from 1 species
GGGGUUGUAGUAUAGCCUGGUCUAGUAUUCAACCUUCGGGAGGUUGGGACCUGAGUUCGAAUCUCAGCAACCCCA